UCUAGAUAUGCAAUGAAGCAACAUAUAUUACCAGCUUUGCACAUACAUGUGAUAUAUUGGUCGAGGCCUUGAUGCAUCCAUUCCAACAUAUGCGAUUAUGGCCUGGAAUCCCAUCGAAUAUACAUCAAACAAAACUACCAAUAGAGAAGUCGUGAAUUUAUGGUUUAUGCAAGGACUAGACACCACAGAGCGAACCAUUGCGACUCCUAUGUUCGAACACGAGACACCACAUGAAACAUACAUUGUACCAUCUUGGAGCCACUGCGUUUUAUUGCGCACAUCAUCCAAAACAAUCUUAUAAGCGGCUCACAGUCAUGCCGUGCAUGCUAAAGGGCGUUGAGCCACCAUCUCUUUCUUAUUUGGGAUUUUAGAAUCCUCUUAUAUGUGACAAGUUUCUUUCCUUUUAUUAUUAUUCCUAUGGUUCAACCCAAAUUGUUAUCAGUCUUGAAAAUAAUUCUCAAACAUAUAUCACUCUAAAAAUUCUUGUC
rnacentral:lncRNA from 1 species